UACGUAGGGGGCAAGCGUUGUCCGGAUUCAUUGGGCGUAAAGAGCUCGUAGGCGGUUCAGUAAGUCGGGUGUGAAAGCUCCGAGCUCAACUCGGAGAGGCCACCCGAUACUGCUGUGACUUGAGUCCAGUAGAGGAGCGUGGAAUUCCUGGUGUAGCGGUGAAAUGCGCAGAUAUCAGGAAGAACACCCGUGGCGAAGGCGGCUCUCUAGUACGGUACUGACGCUGAGACGCGAAAGCGUGGGGAGCGAACAGG
rnacentral:rRNA from 1 species